rnacentral:rRNA from 1 species
UACGUAGGGUGCAAGCGUUUGUCCGGAAUUAUUGGGCGUAAAGAGCUCGUAGGCGGUUUGUUGCGUCGGCUGUGAAAUCCCGAGGCUCAACCUCGGGUCUGCAGUCGAUACGAGCAAACUAGAGUGUUGCAGGGGAGACUGGAAUUCCUGGUGUAGCGGUGAAAUGCGCAGAUAUCAGGAGGAACACCGGUGGCGAAGGCGGGGUCUCUGGGGCAACAACUGACGCUGAGGAGCGAAAGCGUGGGGGAGCGAACAGG